rnacentral:rRNA from 1 species
UACGUAGGGACCAAGCGUUGUUCGGAUUUACUGGGCGUAAAGGGCGCGUAGGCGGCUUAACAAGUCACUUGUGAAAUCUUCGGGCCUAACUCGGAACGGCCAAGUGAAACUGUCAAGCUAGAGUGCAGAAGGGGCAAUCGGAAUUCUUGGUGUAGCGGUGAAAUGCGUAGAUAUCAAGAGGAACACCUGAGGUGAAGACGGGUUGCUGGGCUGACACUGACGCUGAGGCGCGAAAGCCAGGGGAGCAAACGGG